rnacentral:rRNA from 1 species
UACGUAGGGUGCGAGCGUUGUCCGGAAUUAUUGGGCGUAAAGAGCUCGUAGGCGGCCUGUCGCGUCGGAUGUGAAAGCCCGGGGGCUUAACCCCCGGGUCUGCAUUCGAUACGGGCAGGCUAGAGUUCGGUAGGGGGAGAUCGGAAUUCCUGGUGUAGCGGUGAAAUGCGCAGAUAUCAGGAGGAACACCGGUGGCGAAGGCGGAUCUCUGGGCCGAUACUGACGCUGAGGAGCGAAAGCGUGGGGAGCGAACAGG